GUUUAGUUUUGAUUUAAACGCUCUCUUGCACUCAUCGACUGUAGACGCUGGCAUUUUUGCUCCUAAAGGCAUGAAUUAUUCGGCGGUGCCUUACCCCAAUAGUUACACACAGUCAGGAGAAAAUACGCAUGUUUGUGUGAAUUUACCCAACAUUUUUCCUACUGCUGGAAAAUCAUUAUUAAAAAUAUAUAAAGUGCAGUGAAAAAUAUUUGAAAAAAAUGUUUUUGUUACUUUUGAAAAUUUUGUAAAAGAAAAACUUGAAAUUGCAAAAGUUCAGAGUGAAAUGAAAAGUUUUCGUGUGUCUUGAGAUAAAAUCAACCCAAAAUAUUAUAAAAAUCUCACAGAAACUUUAAUAUUUCUUAUAUGAAGUGAAAAGUUAUAAAUAAGAUUUUUCUAUUUUUACCGAAUUUUAUAGUGACAGAUACGAAAAAAAGUAUUAUGUGUUAUGGAUUAAAUAUAAAUGUGAUGAAAUAUAAAUUUCAUACAUAUGCUUCAGUAUAUAUAAUUACCUGUGUUUAUAUACGAAACUUUUACUCUUCAAAUAUGAAUAUCAACUUUUAUAUUGAUGACCGAUAAGGUGAAGAAUGAAGUUUAGAAUUUUUUUCUUAGUGUUCAGUGAUUGAAUCAGUCAGUAAGAACGAAGGAAAUAAAAUAAAUAUUGGAAGAUAUACUGACAAUAUAUCAUACAUAUGUAUAUAUGUAUAUAUAGGUUGGUUAUCUCCUCAACCAACUCGCCUAAUAGAAAUAAAUAUGUAUAGUGGAAUUGAGGUGAUGAACACGUGAGAAAAAACUCACAGAAGCAAUGAAUUAGUGAGAGAGGAGAAAAUAAGAAAAGACUUGUAGUGAAAUGAAAAAUCUCUUGUGUGAUAAGUGAAUUUUACUAUUUGGAAAAAUAUAUAUUUUUUUACAAUGGCACUUGGAGAACUACAGUGUUUUAAUUUAAGAUAUUUUAAAAUAUCCAGUAGCAUCUGGAGAACCUUUAGGAGACGCAGAAGAACACUCUUUAAGCCAUUUUGUCGUUCACACUGCAAUGGGUCAAAUUUGUUAAAUAUAUUAAUUAUUAGUCUAAUAGUACUCAGUAAUUUUGUGAUUAUAUCAAAAUGUGAACAAUGGCACAAGAGGCUAGAGGACAAUGAGGAUUUUGAGACUCAAUCAGAGUCCCUGAGUUCUAGUGAUUUGGAGAGACUGCACCAACUCGUUAAAAUAGGAUUAAACAUCACUCACUUACCCAAUGUACAUCAGAUUAAUAUAAGUCAGAAGGAAUAUGCGGAAAAGUACAAAAUGUACUUAGAGAGAAUUCAGCAACGAAUGAGGAAUGACAUCGAUUCGAUGAAUGAAGACGAUGGGGAGCUGGUCUUUAAUUCAUUUACACCUUCACCUACAACCCAAUUUCGUCAUCGACGACCUCGAAGUAUAAGCAACGAUUUAGUAUUCGUGCGUUUUCCGCUACCGGAAGCGGAACAGCCUCCGCCUGGUGUGGAAGAGGCUACCCUGAGACUGCUUCUCCAGAAUCGUUACCAUCAGAGCCACAGAAAUGACACCGACGACCCCAGUGUGAGCAUUAAAGUGUAUCAACUAAUUGAGCCAUACGGUCGGAUUUUUCUCGAUGGUCAAAUUGAAAUGCUACAUCACCUGACUGACUCCAAGUGGAUUGAAUUGGAUGUUUGUCGAGCAGUGGAAAGUUGGCUUGAUGCACGUCACCAGAAUCUUGGAUUGGAAAUUCACUGCGAUGGCUGCCACCGCAACGGGUUACACAUUGUGCACGAUGUUUCGCAGUUUGGUGACACCGAUGAAGAUGCCAAUCCAGCUCUGAAUAUCGUGACACGUGCUGUGCAGCGUGAAAAACGUUCACGGCAGUACAAACACUACAUCCAGCAUCCCAUUCGACGACCACGACAGACUGAUUGCCAAAAGAACAACCAAAAGUGUUGUCGCCAUCGCAUGGAGGUUGCAUUCAAGGAUGUCAAAGGCUAUGAAUUUAUCAUUCAGCCCAAGUCCUUUGACGCUGGCUUCUGCCGUGGAAAGUGCCCGCCUAAAUAUAACCCAGCGCAUCAUCAUGCCCUCCUUCAGAGUCUUAUCUGGAAACAAGACAAGAAUAAAGCACCACGGCCAUGUUGUGCCCCUCUCAAACUCAUAGAUCUCGAAGUGCUGCACGUAGAUGAGAGGGAUCCGACAAAAUUGAAAGUAGCCACCUGGACCGAUAUGCGGGUCCUAGAAUGUGCUUGUUCCUAAACAAUACCGUCCGAAGGCUCUCAUGUGAUUAGUCGUCAUCCCUUUUUAAACGAAAUAGGCUCACAUCAUUUCCGCUAUUUUUUUUCUAUUUAUAUGCCAAAGACCAAUAAAUGUGAACUUCUUAGUUGAGAAAAGAAAAGAAAAGAAAAGAUUUUUAUCAGAAUCGACUUCAAUACCUAAAGUACUCUGCGUUGAUACCACUGCUU